UCCUCUUCAGCCGUUUUGCUCUCUUCCCUCUAUUCUUUUCUUCUUCCCACAACCGAGAGCCUCAAAGGCUAACCACAUCGCCACUCGCACCAUCGGCAACAAUGACCAACGCUUGAUCACCGCCCCAAUGGCCUCCACUCACACAAACAGCGGCUGUACACCAAGAUCCCACAACUCGUCGAUAACGCACAUGGUGAAGGUAAGUAUCACUCAAACCUUUCCUUUUCUUCUUCAACCGAAAGUUUUGAAAUCCUCUACACCGUUUCUCUCUCUACUCUACACCGGUGAAGAUCCAAACACAACAAAGGUAAAUAGAUCUCUAUCUCGUUUCUAUUUCGUUUUUAUUUUAGAAUCUGAACCGAUGAACGAACCACUAACUCCUAUGCAAGGUUUCCCGAGCAACCUUCAAUGCUUCGGUUUAUGCUGCUUCAUUGUUUUCUACACUCUAAGCUUUAUAAGGACAAAGUUGUAAGUGCCAGUUCCAUUUACACUAUCUAGUGCAGGUUUAUGAGGUCUUCAGCCAUAUGACACUACUAGCUCGCUCUAACGCUGACUGUUUGGGCUCUUCCAUGGCAAAUGAACUUUUUAUAAUUGUUCGGAAGUAGGUCAGUCAUCCAGAUCUGAAGUACAAAAAGAUGGGUCUAAUUGGAAUCUUGAAAAUAGUUUCAUGUCUAGGAGGAGAAAGUAAUGCUACUUUAUCAUCACCAUUUGAGGAAGUGAGACGAAAAGAAGAGGCAGCAGCAAGAGGCACCUUUCAUUAUAAUAUGACUAUUCACAUUGAAAACAUUUAGUUUUGCUCAUUGUUUCAAGUUUUGUUGAACAUAACAUUUUUUUUUUGCAAUUUUUUUUUACUUGAUUCUUUUUUCUACCGUGAGCUAGAUUUUGACUUCUCCAUUUUGCAGCUGGAAUUGUUUUGGACAGAAAAAUUAGCCA